AUCCUGGCUCAGGAUGAACGCUAGCGGCAGGCUUAACACAUGCAAGUCGAGGGGUAUAGUAGCAAUACUAGAGACCGGCGCACGGGUGCGUAACGCGUAUGCAACCUACCUUUACAGAGGGAUAGCCCAGAGAAAUUUGGAUUAAUACCUCAUAGUGUUAUUAGAUGGCAUCAUUUGAUAACUAAAGUUCCACGGUAAAAGAUGGGCAUGCGUCCUAUUAGCUAGAUGGUAAGGUAACGGCUUACCAUGGCUACGAUAGGUAGGGGUCCUGAGAGGGAGAUCCUCCACACUGGUACUGAGACACGGACCAGACUCCUACGGGAGGCAGCAGUGAGGAAUAUUGGACAAUGGGCGCAAGCCUGAUCCAGCCAUGCCGCGUGCAGGAAGAAGCAUCUAUGGUGUGUAAACUGCUUUUGUACGGGAAGAAACACUCCUACGUGUAGGAGCUUGACGGUACCGUAAGAAUAAGGAUCGGCUAACUCCGUG
rnacentral:rRNA from 1 species